rfam:Pan troglodytes isolate Yerkes chimp pedigree #C0471 (Clint) chromosome 2A, whole genome shotgun sequence.
GCCGGGCAUGGUGGCACGUGCCUGUAAUCCCAGUUACUUAGGAGGCUGAGGUAGGAGAAUCACCUGAGCCCAGGAGGUCGAGGCUGCAGUGAGCCAAGAUUGUGCCACUGCACUCUAGCCUGGGUGACAAAGUGAGACCCUGUUUCAG